GCAAAUUUCUAUCUUCUAACACACACACACACACACACACACACACACACACAAACUGCUUUUAAGAGAAAGUUGUCACUUGAGCAAAAACUUUCAUCUUUAGCUGAUCCAAUGACGGGAAGCUAUUUGGCAUAGACUUAGUAAAACCUUCACGCAAAACCAGCAGAGGAACUGCCAGAGCUUCCAUAUAGGGUGUAACUUGAGGAGUCAUCCUGAUGCUGGAAGAGCCGUCCAGCUUUCCAGAAGGAGGCCAGUAAAAAGCGGGGAGAGAUACUUCUCAAAUCUCAUCAUCAGGCGGCUGAAGAUGACCACAGCCCUAUCAGUGUGCAGAUGGAACGGCAGAUUUUCAACACCGGUUUUUCCUCUUCUUCUUUUUAACUCCCAAUUUGUUUGCUGGUUUCUUUAGUCAAGUUAACUUGGACUAAGGAGACUAGAGAUGCCAGUGACUGUGCAAAAGGGAAACUUGCAACUUACAUAACAAGCAUCAGAACCUUAAAUUUGGGUGGGACAUAGUAAUUACUCGAAUCAUCCACUUUCCUUCAAGUGGGCCCAUCCUUAGGCGGUGAAGGCUUUUCUCCUUACUGUAUAUCUACAUCUCUCUCUCUCUCUCGACAUAUCUUUUCAUACUUUAUAUUUGUAUAUAUCUGUAUAUAUGUGUAUGUGUUUAUCCAUGUGUAUAUUGUGUGUAUGUACAAUUGUAGUAGGCAAUUACAUGGUGGGGGGGGGUGUGCGUCUGUGUAUAUAGUGUAUGUAUAUACAAUUGUGGUAGACAGCUACAGUCAUGGCUUCCAAUGAAGCGUGCCUCCUCUUUCCUGUAUUCAUGCCUUGUGUAGGCCCCACCCACAUUGACUCUGGGCUCAAUGAGACAUAAUCAAGCAUGAUGCAAACAGAGGCUUGAUAACCACUUGCACCUUGGGGCUUAUCAUCUUGCAGUGUUUGCUGUUGGAGCCCUGAGCCACAAUGAAAAGUGGACUAUCUGGCCAGAGAGACUCUUGGAGAGAGAACGAUGCCGAGUCAGCCCUAGCUGUGACAGUCAGACUCUUGGAGGAGCCCCACAUGGGAGUCAAGAAGCACUCCUUAAGUUCAGCCCCUGUCCAGCCACAAGGUCUACCCACAGAAGCAUAAAAACAAUAAAAUGUUGUUUUAAGCUACAAAGUUUGAGUAAAUGGUGUGUCAAACAGUACUAGAUAACUGAAACAACCAUGAGUGUAUCUGUGUGUGACAUCCACUGAAAUUCUCCAACUUUGCUCUUGUAUUUUUGUUUUUAUUUUUUUAAUUAUAGGAUAUUUAAUAAGUAAGACAGAGUAAAUAAACUUUACUUGUACAUUUUAGCAUAAUUAACAAAGAAUUACAAAGCAAAACCUAUGUAAUCGCUACCUAGGUCAAGAAACAGAACACUGCUAGCACCCAAACCCAUCCCACCUCCUCUUUGCGCAUCACAACUGGCCCCCCAUUGGUAAACAUUGACUUGUUUUUUGUGACAUGAAUUGCUUAGCUUUUCCUUAUAGUUUUGCCACUAAAGUAUACAUUCUUAAACAUUAUGGUUCAUGCUUGUAUCAAACUUUCUGUGAACGGAGUCAGUGUGUAUGCAUUCUUUUAAGACUUGCUUCAUUUGCUGAACUUAUGUCUGUGAUACUCAUCCACGUUGUUGCACAUAGCUGUAGUUCAUUCAUUUUCACUGCUUCGUAGGCAUCCAUCAUGGGAACAUAAUACAGGUUAUGUAUCCAUUCCACUCUAAAUGGACGUUUGAAUUCUUUCUAUGAGCAAUUGCUGUUAGGAACAUGCUGUUAGGAAUGCCUUUAUACUUGCAUCCUGGCGGAGGAGUUUCUCUAUGGCAGCAGUUCUCAAAGGGUGACCCAGGGACUCCUGGGGCCCCCCAAGACACUUUCAGGGGUUCUGUGUGUGAAAAAUGAUUGUCAUGAUGAUAUUGGGGUUUUAUUUUUCCUUUCCAGUCUCAAUUUAUCACGAAUAUAGAGUGGAAUUUUCCAGAGACUACAUCAUGUGUGGUACUGCACCAGACCAAAAGCAGCAGCCAAUAUGAAAAUUCAGCUAUCUUCUAGGAGGCCAGACAUUAAAGGGAUUUGCAAAAAUGUAAAAUGAUGCCACUCUUCUCCCUAAAUUUUUUUUGUUUGAAAAUUUCAAUUAUUUUUAUUAAAAAUACCUU